GCUGACAGAUAAACCAGCCCAAGAACGCCCGGUCUCGUCUGAUCUCGGAAGCUAAGAAGGCUUGGGCCUGGUUAGUACUUGGAUGGGAGACCUCCUGGGAAUGCCAUGUGCUGUAAGCU
ensembl:rRNA 5S_rRNA 5S ribosomal RNA